rnacentral:rRNA from 1 species
CCUACGGGUGGCUGCAGUGGGGAAUAUUGGACAAUGGGGGGAACCCUGAUCCAGCCAUGCCGCGUGUGUGAAGAAGGCCCUCGGGUUGUAAAGCACUUUCAGUGAGGAAGAACGCCUGGUGGUUAAUACCCAUCAGGAAAGACAUCACUCACAGAAGAAGCACCGGCUAACUCCGUGCCAGCAGCCGCGGUAAUACGGAGGGUGCGAGCGUUAAUCGGAAUUACUGGGCGUAAAGCGCGCGUAGGUGGCUUGAUAAGCCGGUUGUGAAAGCCCCGGGCUCAACCUGGGAACGGCAUCCGGAACUGUCAAGCUAGAGUGCAGGAGAGGAAGGUAGAAUUCCCGGUGUAGCGGUGAAAUGCGUAGAGAUCGGGAGGAAUACCAGUGGCGAAGGCGGCCUUCUGGACUGACACUGACACUGAGGUGCGAAAGCGUGGGUAGCAAACAGGAUUUGAUACCCCUGUAGUC